AGACCCACUCGCACGCAUAGGUUACUCGCGGGGUGAGACGUCAGUGCAGCCGCCGGCUUCGACGCAACGAGUCGUAACGUGAUUUCGCGCCAAAACCAUGCCGCGAAUAUAUAUUAAAAGGGGACGAGGACGGGAGAGGUAGAUGAAGGUGCAAUAGAAUCGGCGAUAAAAGAAGUUUUGGAUAAGACAUUAUCUAUUAGAAAAUCUGCACAAAAAUAUGGCGUCAAACCAACAACACUCGAAAGUCGUCUGAAAAGUUUCAUCAACAAGAAGCUGCCGAAAAUAUGCCUACCCGUGCGUUCACUUCCAAGUUUACGUCAAAUCAGGUGUUUUCAACUGAGGAGGAAGCCCUUUUAAACAAUUACAUUAUUGAAUGCUCCAAAAUGCACUACGGUCUGACGAUCAUCCAGGUCAGAAAAUUGGCAUAUGAGUUUGCAAAAGCCAAUCAGCUUAAUUUUCAUCCGAGUUGGCAUCAUAAUAAAAUGGCUGGUAAAGAAUGGUUGGAUAGUUUCCGCAGGCGAAACGGAAACCUGAGUCUUAGAAAGCCUGAAAAUACCAGCGCCGCUAGAUCAUUUGCUUUUAACAAGACUGCUGUAACUGAUUUUUAUAAUAACCUUGAAAAGGUUCUAACAAAGUACAAAUUUACUUCA